rnacentral:rRNA from 1 species
GGGUUGUGAGGUUAAGCGACUAAGCGUACACGGUGGAUGCCCUGGCAGUCAGAGGCGAUGAAGGGCGUGCUAAUCUGCGAUAAGCGCCGGUAAGGUGAUAUGAACCGUUAUAACCGGCGAUACCCGAAUGGGGAAACCCAGUGUGAUUCGUCACACUAUCAUUAACUGAAUCCAUAGGUUAAUGAGGCGAACCGGGGGAACUGAAACAUCUAAGUACCCCGAGGAAAAGAAAUCAACCGAGAUUCCCCCAGUAGCGGCGAGCGAACGGGGAGGAGCCCAGAGCCUGAAUCAGCAUGUGUGUUAGUGGAAGCGUCUGGAAAGGCGCGCGAUACAGGGUGACAGCCCCGUACACAAAAGCGCAUGUGCUGUGAGCUCGAUGAGUAGGGCGGGACACGUGGUAUCCUGUCUGAAUAUGGGGGGACCAUCCUCCAAGGCUAAAUACUCCUGACUGACCGAUAGUGAACCAGUACCGUGAGGGAAAGGCGAAAAGAACCCCGGCGAGGGGAGUGAAAAAGAACCUGAAACCGUGUACGUACAAGCAGUGGGAGCACCCUUCGGGGUGUGACUGCGUACCUUUUGUAUAAUGGGUCAGCGACUUAUAUUCUGUAGCAAGGUUAACCGUAUAGGGGAGCCGGAGGGAAACCGAGUCUUAACCGGGCGUUAAGUUGCAGGGUAUAGACCCGAAACCCGGUGAUCUAGCCAUGGGCAGGUUGAAGGUUGGGUAACACUAACUGGAGGACCGAACCGACUAAUGUUGAAAAAUUAGCGGAUGACCUGUGGCUGGGGGUGAAAGGCCAAUCAAACCGGGAGAUAGCUGGUUCUCCCCGAAAGCUAUUUAGGUAGCGCCUCGUGAAUUCAUCUCCGGGGGUAGAGCACUGUUUCGGCUAGGGGGCCAUCCCGGCUUACCAACCCGAUGCAAACUGCGAAUACCGGAGAAUGUUAUCACGGGAGACACACGGCGGGUGCUAACGUCCGUCGUGAAGAGGGAAACAACCCAGACCGCCAGCUAAGGUCCCAAAGUCAUGGUUAAGUGGGAAACGAUGUGGGAAGGCCCAGACAGCCAGGAUGUUGGCUUAGAAGCAGCCAUCAUUUAAAGAAAGCGUAAUAGCUCACUGGUCGAGUCGGCCUGCGCGGAAGAUGUAACGGGGCUAAACCAUGCACCGAAGCUGCGGCAGCGAACGUAUCACCCAAGACAACUUUACGGAGUUGACGAUUGACGGAGCGAAGCGACGUCAAAGCGUUCAUUAAAGUCGAGUUGGCUUAGGGAUACGUUCGUUGGGUAGGGGAGCGUUCUGUAAGCCUGUGAAGGUGUGUCGUGAGGCAUGCUGGAGGUAUCAGAAGUGCGAAUGCUGACAUAAGUAACGAUAAAGCGGGUGAAAAGCCCGCUCGCCGGAAGACCAAGGGUUCCUGUCCAACGUUAAUCGGGGCAGGGUGAGUCGACCCCUAAGGCGAGGCCGAAAGGCGUAGUCGAUGGGAAACGGGUUAAUAUUCCCGUACUUGGUGUUACUGCGAAGGGGGGACGGAGAAGGCUAUGUUGGCCGGGCGACGGUUGUCCCGGUUUAAGCGUGUAGGUGUGUGUUCCAGGUAAAUCCGGUUCACUUUAACACUGAGGCGUGACGACGAGGCACUACGGUGCUGAAGCAACAAAUGCCCUGCUUCCAGGAAAAGCCUCUAAGCAUCAGGUAACACGAAAUCGUACCCCAAACCGACACAGGUGGUCAGGUAGAGAAUACCAAGGCGCUUGAGAGAACUCGGGUGAAGGAACUAGGCAAAAUGGUGCCGUAACUUCGGGAGAAGGCACGCUGACACGUAGGUGAAGUGAUUUACUCAUGGAGCUGAAGUCAGUCGAAGAUACCAGCUGGCUGCAACUGUUUAUUAAAAACACAGCACUGUGCAAACACGAAAGUGGACGUAUACGGUGUGACGCCUGCCCGGUGCCGGAAGGUUAAUUGAUGGGGUCAGCGUAAGCGAAGCUCCUGAUCGAAGCCCCGGUAAACGGCGGCCGUAACUAUAACGGUCCUAAGGUAGCGAAAUUCCUUGUCGGGUAAGUUCCGACCUGCACGAAUGGCGUAAUGAUGGCCAGGCUGUCUCCACCCGAGACUCAGUGAAAUUGAACUCGCUGUGAAGAUGCAGUGUACCCGCGGCAAGACGGAAAGACCCCGUGAACCUUUACUAUAGCUUGACACUGAACAUUGAGCCUUGAUGUGUAGGAUAGGUGGGAGGCUUUGAAGUGUGGACGCCAGUCUGCAUGGAGCCGACCUUGAAAUACCACCCUUUAAUGUUUGAUGUUCUAACGUGGACCCGUUACCCGGGUUGCGGACAGUGUCUGGUGGGUAGUUUGACUGGGGCGGUCUCCUCCUAAAGAGUAACGGAGGAGCACGAAGGUUGGCUAAUCCUGGUCGGACAUCAGGAGGUUAGUGCAAUGGCAUAAGCCAGCUUGACUGCGAGCGUGACGGCGCGAGCAGGUGCGAAAGCAGGUCAUAGUGAUCCGGUGGUUCUGAAUGGAAGGGCCAUCGCUCAACGGAUAAAAGGUACUCCGGGGAUAACAGGCUGAUACCGCCCAAGAGUUCAUAUCGACGGCGGUGUUUGGCACCUCGAUGUCGGCUCAUCACAUCCUGGGGCUGAAGUAGGUCCCAAGGGUAUGGCUGUUCGCCAUUUAAAGUGGUACGCGAGCUGGGUUUAGAACGUCGUGAGACAGUUCGGUCCCUAUCUGCCGUGGGCGCUGGAGAACUGAGGGGGGCUGCUCCUAGUACGAGAGGACCGGAGUGGACGCAUCACUGGUGUUCGGGUUGUCAUGCCAAUGGCACUGCCCGGUAGCUAAAUGCGGAAGAGAUAAGUGCUGAAAGCAUCUAAGCACGAAACUUGCCCCGAGAUGAGUUCUCCCUGAGACUUAGAGUCUCCUGAAGGAACGUUGAAGACGACGACGUUGAUAGGCCGGGUGUGUAAGCGCAGCGAUGCGUUGAGCUAACCGGUACUAAUGAACCGUGAGGCUUAACCUUACAACGCCGAAG